rnacentral:rRNA from 1 species
UACGUAGGGGGCGAGCGUUGUCCGGAUUUAUUGGGCGUAUAGAGCUCGUAGGCGGUUCGAUAAGUCGGACGUGAAAUCUCCACGCUCAACGUGGAGGGGCCGUUCGAUACUGUCGUGACUCGAGUCCGGUAGGGGAGUGUGGAAUUCCCGGUGUAGCGGUGAAAUGCGCAGAGAUCGGGAGGAACACCCGUAGCGAAGGCGGCACUCUGGGCCGGUACUGACGCUGAGGAGCGAAAGCGUGGGGAGCGAACAGG